UUUGCUAUUGGAUAAUCAUGUCAUUGAAGAACCAAUCGCGCGCUGUAUCCAAGAGGAAUAGACCAUUUGGGCCUAAAUCAAGGUUUUUGAAGGCAAGGAGCUGUGAUUGGUGAAUUCAGGUGAAGCAGAUGGAGGCAGAGCUGUGGAGUCACCUCUCUGCACUCAAGGUAGAGAUCGAAGAGAACGGAGGAGCAGGAUCUUCUAAUGCCUACAGUUCUGUUCUACCUCCUAAAGAUAUUUCCUUCUUUCGUGUGGAGAGGGAGCAUGCACUGAGGAGAGGGCUUCAGGUGGCUGAUGUUUUGCCGACUCGGUCUCAGGCUGAUAUCAUGCAGCGAGAGCUGGAGAGCUGCUUGAGUUUUGAGUACACUCCUGACAGUCUGCCUCUUCUGCUGCACCAGUUCUUCACAGACAGAUCUUAUCACUUGGCUCAGAUCAGAUAUCUGCUCAUGCUGAGAUGGAGGAGAUUUUGCCGCCAUGCCAGCGUUAUUGAGAAGCUUUAUCCCCAUUAUAAGGUUGCCAUGUGUAAACGAACAGCAUGACCUAGCAGUGUUUUAACAAUACUCUAAAAAAAUACAUCUUUUCACUGUACUUUUGUACUGGUUUGUGGUUAUUUUCUGCAUUUUAUUCUGUAUCUACCUUUAA
ensembl:lncRNA